rnacentral:rRNA from 1 species
GCGGUAAUACCAGCUCUCCGAGUAGUGUGGAUGUUUAUUGGGCCUAAAGCAUCCGUAGCUUGCUAUGCAAGUCCUCUGUUAAAUCCACCGAUUCAAUCGUUGGAUUGCGGGGGAUACUGUUUGGCUAGGGGACGGGAGAGGCCGACGGUAUUUCCGGGGUAGGGGUGAAAUCCUAUAAUCCCGG